UACCGUACUGUAAACCGACACUGGUGAACAAAUUUAGUAAAUUAAGGUGCUUGAGUUAAUUGUAUUGAAGGAACUCGGCAAAAUGGCUCCGUAACUUAGGGAUAAGGAGUAGCUUUUAAAAAUUAAAAAUUCAAAAAGCUGUCACAAAAUCGAGGACAGCGACUGUUUAAUAAAAACACAGGUCUCUGCAAAUUUGAAAAAAGAAGUAUAGAGACUGACGCCUGCCCGGUACUGCAAGUUUAAUAGAAAAAGUCUUGGCUUUGACUUGAAUUCCCAGUAAACGGCGGCUGUAACUCUGACGGUCCAAAGGUAGCGAAAUUCCUUGGCAUUUAAUUGAUGUCCUGCAUGAAUGGCGUAACGACUGUCCUACUGUCUCCAAUACAAUCUCAGUGAAAUUGAAAUGUCUGUGAAGAUGCAGACUACUCGCGGCUAGACGGAAAGACCCUGUGCACCUUUACUAUAGUUAUAAAUUGUAAUAAAACUUUUUAUGUAUAGCAUAUGUGGUAAGUUUUUUUCAAACCGUAGCGCA
rnacentral:rRNA from 1 species